GUCGCAAGACCAAAGUGGGGGACCUUCGGGCCUCAUGCCAUCAGAUGUGCCCAGAUGGGAUUAGCUAGUAGGUGGGGUAAUGGCUCACCUAGGCGACGAUCCCUAGCUGGUCUGAGAGGAUGACCAGCCACACUGGAACUGAGACACGGUCCAGACUCCUACGGGAGGCAGCAGUGGGGAAUAUUGCACAAUGGGCGCAAGCCUGGGG
rnacentral:rRNA from 1 species